UAGGGAAUCCUCCACAAUGGACGAAAGUCUGAUGGAGCAACGCCGCGUGAGUGAAGAAGGGUUUCGGCUCGUAAAACUCUGUUGUUAAAGAAGAACAUAUCUGAGAGUAACUGUUCAGGUAUUGACGGUAUUUAACCAGAAAGCCACGGCUAACUACGUGCCAG
rnacentral:rRNA from 1 species